AAAUCCGGUUCACUUUAACACUGAGGCGUGACGACGAGGCACUACGGUGCUGAAGCAACAAAUGCCCUGCUUCCAGGAAAAGCCUCUAAGCAUCAGGUAACAUCAAAUCGUACCCCAAACCGACACAGGUGGUCAGGUAGAGAAUACCAAGGCGCUUGAGAGAACUCGGGUGAAGGAACUAGGCAAAAUGGUGCCGUAACUUCGGGAGAAGGCACGCUGACACGUAGGUGAAGUGAUUUACUCAUGGAGCUGAAGUCAGUCGAAGAUACCAGCUGGCUGCAACUGUUUAUUAAAAACACAGCACUGUGCAAACACGAAAGUGGACGUAUACGGUGUGACGCCUGCCCGGUGCCGGAAGGUUAAUUGAUGGGGUCAGCGCAAGCGAAGCUCCUGAUCGAAGCCCCGGUAAACGGCGGCCGUAACUAUAACGGUCCUAAGGUAGCGAAAUUCCUUGUCGGGUAAGUUCCGACCUGCACGAAUGGCGUAAUGAUGGCCAGGCUGUCUCCACCCGAGACUCAGUGAAAUUGAACUCGCUGUGAAGAUGCAGUGUACCCGCGGCAAGACGGAAAGACCCCGUGAACCUUUACUAUAGCUUGACACUGAACAUUGAGCCUUGAUGUGUAGGAUAGGUGGGAGGCUUUGAAGUGUGGACGCCAGUCUGCAUGGAGCCGACCUUGAAAUACCACCCUUUAAUGUUUGAUGUUCUAACGUGGACCCGUUACCCGGGUUGCGGACAGUGUCUGGUGGGUAGUUUGACUGGGGCGGUCUCCUCCUAAAGAGUAACGGAGGAGCACGAAGGUUGGCUAAUCCUGGUCGGACAUCAGGAGGUUAGUGCAAUGGCAUAAGCCAGCUUGACUGCGAGCGUGACGGCGCGAGCAGGUGCGAAAGCAGGUCAUAGUGAUCCGGUGGUUCUGAAUGGAAGGGCCAUCGCUCAACGGAUAAAAGGUACUCCGGGGAUAACAGGCUGAUACCGCCCAAGAGUUCAUAUCGACGGCGGUGUUUGGCACCUCGAUGUCGGCUCAUCACAUCCUGGGGCUGAAGUAGGUCCCAAGGGUAUGGCUGUUCGCCAUUUAAAGUGGUACGCGAGCUGGGUUUAGAACGUCGUGAGACAGUUCGGUCCCUAUCUGCCGUGGGCGCUGGAGAACUGAGGGGGGCUGCUCCUAGUACGAGAGGACCGGAGUGGACGCAUCACUGGUGUUCGGGUUGUCAUGCCAAUGGCACUGCCCGGUAGCUAAAUGCGGAAGAGAUAAGUGCUGAAAGCAUCUAAGCACGAAACUUGCCCCGAGAUGAGUUCUCCCUGAGACUUAGAGUCUCCUGAAGGAACGUUGAAGACGACGACGUUGAUAGGCCGGGUG
rnacentral:rRNA from 1 species